AUGAUGAGUCACACACUUGAGCAUUUACAAAGAAAAAAAACAUCAUAUUAACGAAGAGAUGCGUUCCAAGGAAACGAAGUUACCAUUGACUUUGGUGGUAGGUUUGAAGUGAACUUGGCACGGACAACACCGCUGUUACCAUGAGGCCUAGCGACUUUGCCCCAGAUGCAACGGUAGUGAGAACCGUUCUUCUUUGUCUUCGCCUUGUAGAUAUAAGCCAUGCGCUUUCCCUUGUACCAAGUAACCUCCUCUGUUGUGUUCACUCCUUCGAUCUGGAUUAGAGAUGUGUUUGGGUACUGGUUCGACUUCGACCUGAAAAUGUACAUUAACAGUCACUAAUCAAGCUUAAGAUUAAGAUUGCUACUUAAGAUUUUCAAACACUUCUUGGUACGCAAGUAACUGCACCAGAAGCUCAAAAUGUAAUCAUUUCAAGAACCAUAAAUCAAGAACAAAAGACGCAAUCUUUCACACGGACAACUAGACUAAAACACAGAUAAAGACAGGAUCAAAGUUGUGCAAAAGUACCUCUUGUAACCGAGGACUGUUCCUCGAACAUACAAUCUGCAAAAACAGCAAACAAAUAAAGGUUUUGUCAGAUGAAUAAACCAUUAGUUACUCGAAUCGGAGAUUCAGAGAGAGAAGUCUGUUUAUGUUAGAACCGUUAGUUACCUAACUCUUUCUCCUUGGCGUCCUUUCAUUUUCGAUUCUGAUACUGUGUCUUCUUCUUCGUCUUUGACUCUUUUAUGCCGGCGAGUGAAGUACAGAGAAGAGCCCUAGCUAGCUUUCGAUAUUAGGUUAAACAAUAUAUAUGUGGAUUCAUAAAUAAGCCCAUUAUGAAUCCCUAUUAGGCCUACAUUUGGCCCAGGCACUUACAGUUAACAAGUAAAUGAACCGGAGAAAACCAUAUAAGACAGAGUUUUCAACAAUUUAAAGUCAUCAUUUCAAAUUUUAAACACGAGAAUUCAAGAUCAAUCUAAAUUUUGAAUUGAUUUACACUAAAUCCGUUUUUAUCACUUUUCUUUUUUUUUAAAAAAAAUCAGUGAUAAUGAACUUGUUAUUUUAAAAUGUAUUUUUUAUCAAAAGUAUUUAAGGAAUUAGAUUCUUAAGUUUAAGAGAUGUUCAUUGUGGUUUAUGGUGUUUAAUAUAUAACUAGAUUUUGACCCGCGCUUUCAAAGCGCGGGUUUAUUUUUGUUUUUUUUUCAAUUGACAAAUAUUUAGUAAAUGUCACAUUUUCAUAUAUUUGUGUUUUAUUUUAUAAAAGACUUAAAAAUUUUAUUUUUAUUUAUCGUAUUUCAUUUUAAAUGACUAUUUAUGUUAAAAAAAUUAAACUUUAUUUUUUUAAUGAAUUAAGUUGGUAUAACUCUGAUAAAUUAAUUUUAUUAUGGGGUUAAUAUUUUAAUUAAAAAAUUAUAUACUUUUAAUAAAGAUUUAUACUUUUCAAUAAAAAAAUUCAAUUAUUUUUAUGAAUGCUUAAAUUAUAUUAAGAAAAGAAAAAAAUAAUAAUUAAGAAUAGUUGAAAAAAAAUUAUUUGAACUUGGACUCAAUGGUCCAAAGGAAAAAAAAAGGUGAGAAUUGAAUCUGAUUUUUUAAUAGGCCCAAAUGGCACAAAGGAGAUUUGAUUUGGGCUGGAUCCAAAAAUAAUGACCCAAUAUAGAUUUGUUAUUAAUAUUACUUAAUUGCCCUUAAUGAAACAUGCAAUGUUAGUGAAGGAAACAUGCCCCUAAGGUAAUUAUGACAAUAGGAUCCUGAUUUAAUAGUAUAGAUUAUAAUAAUUUCUCUAAUUGACUUAAGAUGGUUUAAAGUAGGUUCUAAAAAUCAGUCUAGGCGGCGCCUAGGUUGCAACUCGAUCUUAGCCAAAACGAUUUUUCUAUAAUCCUAUUCAUACGAUUCAAAUUGGUUUAAAAUGCUAUAAAUAGAUUAAAAUCUGUUUAAAUCAGAUCUAAACUAGUCUAAAUAUGUUAAAAGUAAUCGUGUUAGUAUAAAUCCACAAAUUUGUCUGAUUUAUUUUGUUUUGGAUAUAUCACAAUAUUUUAUAAUUAAACUUAAAAAUAAAAAUAUUUCAUACAAACAUAAAAAAUAUAAAAAAUAAAUUAAUAAUUUGUUUACAACUAGGCUUUGUCUAGGCCCCGAAUUAUCUGCCAAGUCGAUAGUUUUCUAUAAAGCACCUAGUUGCCGUCUAGCGAUUUCUUGAACAACUUUAAACUCAGUUAAAUCGCUUCAAUUCUUUUCACAUACUAGAAGUCUAGAAUACAUAUUCAAUGUUGUUUUGUUAAUUAAACUAAAAUUGUCAAACCAAACCGGAAACGGUUAUAAGUCUUUUUGAUUUGUAAGCGAAGUACAAGUAACAAUAAAAUGGAUUACAGUUGUUUCGCUAUAAGGAGAUUACAACAUAAACAAUGUCGUAGACGACAAAGAUAUAGCACUUUUCAGACAUCAGCAAAAACAUGGAAGUUCUUGGAGUCAACAGCAAUGAGUCUAACAGCAGCAAUUGCAGCAGCAAGAGACAUUAACCCAAAGAAGCAAACGUUAAGCCAAUGCCAUAGCUUUUGAACAGGACUAAGCUUAUCGUUCAUAGCUACGACAUACAUGUGAUUUGCUAAUAUGAACGUGAGAGGGAAAGUGCUUAUAGCUCCCGUGAGGCUCAUGAAAUCUCCAAGAAACGGUAAAAGCGCUGAGAGAAGAGUGCUCACCGCGAUGUAGCUUCCUCGCGCUACUGUUCUAAACAACAGAUUCUUCAGUGCUAAUGGACUUCCUUUGAUUCCAUACUUUGUGUCCAUAAACUCAUACGUCGGACUAGGUAAUGCAUGUUUUAUCCGGCUGUACCUAGAAGAACUAGCUUGCCAGAGAAGAACAAACCUGGUUAACGUCAGGAACCAUUCCUCCUGUAUAUCUCAAUGUGUACUUCUCUUUCACGUAGUAAUCAAUCAGCUGAUUUUAACAGUGAAUAAGAAAAACAUUCAAAGAUUUGUAUAGAAUAGUGAUUAGAUUAAAGCAGAACAAAAGCAAGAACCUUGCUGUAUUCAGAAUUGUCAAACGUGGCUCUCAAGUUUCCUGGUGAGAACAUUUUCCCUUCAUUAAUCUCUGUGGUCUCCUUAACAUGCUGCCAUUUACCUGAGAAACAUUUUGACCUUAAGUCUAAAACUACCAGAGAGUGAAUCUUGGUUGGACCAAAAGCAGAGGAGUACCUUCAUCAAGAAGCAAGAACUCAUGAGUUCCUGGAAACCCUUUAACAGCCAAAACAUAAGUGGUUCUUGGACCAUAGAUUCCCAUGGCUGCAGCCACUUGAUCUCCUCCCGUGACUCCGGUUAACUUAUCACCAGGCCAAACCCCAAAUAUGGUUCCCACAGUGAAGUUUGUAUCCACAAUGCUGGAUCCAUCCAAUGGAUCAAAUGCCACACUAAACCCACCUUCCACUGGACCUCCCAUGUCUUGAAGCUCAGGUACUUCUUCAGAGCAAGCGUAUUUACACACAUGCGAGUAUUGCAAAGCCUAGAAAAACAAAAACAAAAAAAAAAAUAUUAAUCAAACCCUAAUGAUCCUUGUGACAUAAGUUACUCAAAAUAUAAAGAAAACAACCUCAAAGAGAAGCUUAUCGGCGAGCAUAUCGACAGCGAGUUGUUCAUCGCCAAAGGAAUUAACACAAGCAGUCCCACCACAAGAAGCUGUCCUAACUUUGAAAGCUAUUGUCCUCAACGCUUCUCCCAUACACAUCAGCAAAGUUCUCAAUCCCUUGUCAGGUGUUGCUUCUCUCAAAAACUCUUCCUAUACACUCAAACUCAAUAAUUGAAUCAUCAACAAGAUUUUUAGAUAAAAGAAUUGAGUAAUGUUAUUGCUCUGGAGACUUACCAAGCUUUGACCAAUCUCACAUUUGGUCACAGUCGAACCACCAUUGUUCUUAGCCUUGGUGGCUUUCAAUUGCGAUCUUGGUGCUACUCUUAGUGACUCUCCGAAGAUUGAGCUAGACUUCAGACGCUGCUGAGAUCAAAUGUUAAGUACCCUUUUACAGUUAAGAACACAUUCGUUAUAAUGAAUCACACUCACUAGAACUAGAAGUGAACAUAUCACACGUGCGCGCUUUGCAUGUGUGCGUGUAGAGGAUACUACUAACCUUGAAGCUGGAUGAUGCGGAGAAGGAAUAAGGAGGAGAAACCAAUGUAGAUGAUCGUUGAGAAGAAACGCUUGGGAGGAUGAUCCCACGUGAGUAGCAUGUGACGCUGGUCUCCAUGGCUUAAUUAUGUUUCUGAAGUUUGAGGUUGAUAAAAGAAGAAGAGCUCUCUACAGAGGAUAAAGGUGGAAACAAAAGAUCAAACUCAAGUGGUGUGGUGUAUGUAGGAGAAGAUAAAGUGAUCAUUUAUUGUGUGGUUAUGGUCUUUUUAACGUAUUUUUCCAUUUUGAGAUGAUAUCAUCAACAUCAGUUACUCAAAAAUAAAUGUUUUUUUUUAUUGAAAAUUUUCAAAAAUAGUAUCAGAGCCAGGUUUCGAUCCUGGGACCUGUGGGUUAUGGGCCCACCACGCUUCCGCUGCGCCACUCUGAUUUAUUGAUAAUAACUACAAGAUUAAAAUAUAUAACAGACAACUAGAAGAUAUUGUAGAAAUGUUACUUUACAAUUCGUGUUAUACGACUUUAUAUAGUUUUCUAACAAGACCCAUUUAAGAUUAUAACAGGCCUGUUACUCUAGCUUUAAUGGCCCAAAAUAGAUUUCUUGUUCUCCAAGGAUUAGACGCACACCAAAAGAAUCUAAACCUAUUUUUUUUCCUCCUCGUCUCUUUCUUUCACAUGUUCUCAGAGAUAAGCUGAGAUGCAAUUCGUGAAGGCAAGAACGCAAGUGUUCUGAAACGGUUGUUUUCCAAAAGGAAUGUAUCAGAUUUUUUUAUAGAUAAUAACACAAAAAGACUUCAGGAGACAUCAAUGGAAACAUUAAUGGAUAGAUUACACACUUCACACACAAAGAUACCAAGAGAAAACAAACUGAAUCAGUCUGGCAUUAACUUCAAUUUAGACUAGAGAGAGGAGAUAAUUCUUGAGUUUAAGAUUCAGGAACCGCCGUUGCUGGUGUACCAGCGGCUACUGCGGCGGCUGCAGAGCGUUUGAUGGAAGCGGAUUUGAUCAAGUGGUUGUAGCUACCCUUUUCCUUGAAAGGCUGAGCGAAAUGGUGCUUGCAGUACAAGAUUCCUUCAAGAGCUGCGUAGUUUGAAGGCGAAAUAGGGCAGCCUCCAUGUGAGCACUUGAAGCAGGACUUGUGAUAUGUCUGGCUCUCCACUGUUACCUGCAGUUUUCCCAGAAAGAUGUUUGUCACCAACAAAAGAGCUUUCAAAACCUUUUCUCUUGUGUGCCAGAGAACAUGCCAGCAACUCGGCUAGGAGUCCUUGUCUGAGAACAAACGAAGAAGUUCAAUCUGAGUAAACGUAUCUAAAGAGAUUCUGUAGAAACCAGAUAAAAGAAACAUUUAUACCAGCUCAGGACUUGAUUUCUCAGCUGGUUUUGCAGCUGUAAGGAGAGAAAAGUUCCAAGAUUAAUAGGAAAGCCACAACAAGAAAGGCAAAGCUUAAAGUCUAGAUGGAAAGAAGCAGCAGGAACAAGGAGAAGAGGAAGUACAUACGUGACUGAAAGUUUUUGGUGAAGCUACCAGACUCCUUGAAGAGCUGCUCAUAAUGAGGCUUACAGUACAACACUCCUUCCAUCGAUGAAUAUCUACUCAGCUGUACAAAAAAUUCAUACUUUAUCAGGAUCACUAGAGAAACUUUGAAAUCAAACAGUUAAGAUACCUGAAGCCUGGAUUUGCAGUGGGUGCAUUUGAAGCAAGACUUGUGAUAGCUAACUCCAUCAGCAGAGAGAAGCUCCACAGGGUAGACAGUCUUCUCGCAAGCCUUGCACUUCUGCUGAGUUCCUGUGAAAGAAGACAUCCUUCCUUCAACCCCCUUUUGCCUUUGACCUUUCUUCUCCUUUAAAAUAUCAAAGUCAAGAAACAAUGAGGUUAAGUGAUCAGAUCAAAAAGCACUCAGAAUGAGAUUGUAAGAACAUCGAGAGAAAUAGAUGGAUCUAUUACCUCUCUCUGAGCUGAUAACGUCCAAGAUCUGACGAAAACUGCAAAAAAAAACAUACAGAAAAAGAAGAAGAAGAAGGCUUAACAAACUAGAGGAAGACUUGGGAGAUGCAUAAUGCCAAAAACUCAAGUUAGUAGAGAAGCUAUUACGUACUCUUGCGUCUAUUCACGAAAAUGGAGGAUCUGUGUGAGGAUCAAAGCGAUGAAGAUGAAGAAGAAGAAUAAAAAUGGGAGAUAUGGUUAAAUCUUCCUUUUAUGUUUUUCUUUUUUAGCUGGAGGAGACAAACAGUGGGGUUCCACUUUGGCUUGUCUGUUUUUUCUUUUGUAAUAACAGCAAAAUAUUUGAAGAUUAGAGAAUUCUCUGAAGAUUAUAUUUACAAUAAUAAAACAACAACGAAUGGAUGUUCUUAUCUUAUCUUACUGUAUCAUUUUACCAAAUAAAGGGAUAAUUGAUCUGUUUAAAUUUUUUAUUGAGAAAAAUACUAGUAUAGCACCAAACUAAGUUUUUGUUCCCAAAGUAGCACUCAAUGCUCAAAAUCAUAAAAAUAAGUUUUAUUAAAGAGGUAAAUAUACAUUUAUAUCCCUUGGGUUAAUUAAUCCAAACCUUAGGGUUUAGAGUUAAGGGGUAGGUUUUGGAAUUAGGGUUUAAAAUUUUAUAAAAAAUAAAUACUAAAACAAAAAUAAAAAUUUUUAAAACAGUUUCAAAAAGUAUUUUUAAAUUAUAAAAAGAAAAUUUGAAAAAAAAAUAAAAAAAGUUUCAAAAAAAAAUUAUAAAAAUUUCGAAUCUGAAAACAUAUAAUCUGAAAUUAUAAAAUAAAUUUUUUAUUUUUUUAUUUUAGUUAUUUUUAUUUAUUUUUAUUUAUUUAUUUAAUUUCAAACCAAGGGUAUCAGGGAUAUUUUACCCUUUAAUGAAUGUUAUUUUUGUGACUUUUUCUUUCUAGUGCUAUUUUUGACACAUAAACUUCAAAAGUUGCUAUUAUUGACAAUUGCUCUUUUUUAUUCUCCUCGAAUAUGCUAAAUAAAAAUAUCUAACAUAUCCAUUGCUGUCCACACCACCUAUUAUAGAUUCCUAAACAAAUAGAUAUGCGACGACAAGUAAAGCGUCUUUUGCAUAAUAAAUUGUUUUACUAUUGCAUGUCAUAAUCAGUAGAAUAAUAUAAUUAAAUAUCAUUAAAAGGUUUUGAUAUUCAUAGAAACUAUAUCACUGGAGUGCUAAGUGGAGAAAAUAAAUUGGCAACUCAUUUUUGUUUUGCAAUCCCAUCAAAUUAAUGUUUUAAUUCGUCUAGAGAUAAACAAAUCUGACAAAAAAAAAGUGAAAAAAGGAUUAAAACUAUUAGCUUCUGAGAAAUAUGAUAAUGGGAGCUUCCUUCUGAUGCUUGUGAAAUGAACUCCACGUCUUGAAUCUAGCCUCCUCCUGCAUCAGGAAAUCAAAUCAGGAUACGUGUUGACUCGGACAACACAUAAAACAAGAUCCUAGAAGAAUAAUACAUUACAUUACAGGGAUGAGUCUAAGACCUCACAACUACAAUAUCCAUCCUUUCAAUUGCUAAUACAAGUCAGGCCAAAACAGGCUAAUCUAAUUUGAGUUAAUAGACAAUAAUCAUUAAUAAUCCUUAACACUAAUGAGACUUAAAUUUUGGACAAAGCUACAAAGAUGGGUGCAUAUUAUUUACUCUUAUAUGUUGCUUGGGUACAUGAACACUCUGACUCUAGCUCCCUGAGAGUAACACAACAGAAAACAAAUGAUGAGUCACACACUUGAGCAUUUACAAAGAAAAAAAACAUCAUAUUAACGAAGAGAUGCGUUCCAAGGAAACGAAGUUACCAUUGACUUUGGUGGUAGGUUUGAAGUGAACUUGGCACGGACAACACCGCUGUUACCAUGAGGCCUAGCGACUUUGCCCCAGAUGCAACGGUAGUGAGAACCGUUCUUCUUUGUCUUCGCCUUGUAGAUAUAAGCCAUGCGCUUUCCCUUGUACCAAGUAACCUCCU
rnacentral:lncRNA from 1 species